CCUAACACAUGCAAGUCGAACGGUAACAGGAAGAAGCUUCGCUUCUUUGCUGACGAGUGGCGGACGGGUGAGUGAGGUCUGGGAAACUGCCUGAUGGAGGGGGAUAACUACUGGAAACGGUAGCUAAUACCGCAUAAUGUCGCAAAACCAAAGAGGGGGACCUUCGGGCCUCUUGCCGUCGGAUGUGCCCAGAUGGGAUUAGCUAGUAGGUGGGGUAACGGCUCACCUAGGCGACGAUCCCUAGCUGGUCUGAGAGGAUGACCAGCCACACUGGAACUGAGACACGGUCCAGACUCCUACGGGAGGCAGCAGUGGGGAAUAUUGCACAAUGGGCGCAAGCCUGAUGCAGCCAUGCCGCGUGUAUGAAGAAGGCCUUCGG
rnacentral:rRNA from 1 species